AUGCUUGCUUCAGCAACAUAUAAGAUAAACUUGGAGCAAUACAGAGAAAAUGAGCACGGCCCCUGCACAAGGAUGACAUGCAAAUUCAUGAAGCAUUCCAUUUCUAU
ensembl:snRNA U6 U6 spliceosomal RNA